rnacentral:rRNA from 1 species
UACGGGGGGAGCAAGCGUUGUUCGGAUUUACUGGGCGUAAAGGGCGGGUAGGCGGCCACCGCAAGUCAGUUGUGAAAUCUCCGGGCUUAACCCGGAAAGGUCAACUGAUACUGCGGGGCUAGAGUGCAGAAGGGGCAACUGGAAUUCUCGGUGUAGCGGUGAAAUGCGUAGAUAUCGAGAGGAACACCUGCGGCGAAGGCGGGUUGCUGGGCUGAUACUGACGCUGAUGCGCGAAAGCCAGGGGAGCGAACGGG